AUAUUUAAUUACAAUAUAAUGUUUUUGUUACAGAAACUCCCCCUCCACCAUACAGUCGCUACGUGAUGGACGACGUGAAGCCUAAAGAGCACGGCGAGAGCACAGAGGAUGCGAGGAGGACGGACCAUGAGCGGCUUCCCACGGGAUCCCUCGCCACCGACGGCGAAGAGCGACCCAGCUGGG